rnacentral:lncRNA from 1 species
GUCAGUCCUAAUAACUAAUUCAUGGGAUCCAGAUGAAAAAUCCCCAUCUGGAAUUUUUAACCACCUUGAGGGUCAGAGAUUUUUUUGAGAAUCAGAGGAAAGCAAUGAACCUCAGGCCUGGCAGGUGAGGGGACCAGGAGAAGACAGGAAGUACAUGUGUGCAAACAGACAAAAGUUUGCACACAAGUAGUUCAUUCCCAAGCUUCAGAACCCUAGCGCUGCUUGAUUCCCUUCAGUUGCAGAUAUUGGUGGCUGGAAUCAAGGGCCAGGCCCCAGAAAAGUUUCACAGAAGGGACAUACAUAGGGCCAAAUUGGACCCUCCGAUUCACACCGGGUAUCUCUGAGAUGUGUGUCAAGAUUCCUAGCGUGAUUUACCAAAGGCUUGAUGAUCUCACUUCAUCUUUAUUCUGCAAACUCAUGCCCUAGCAUUCUUCCCAAUAGCAACUAUCACUAUCCCUAAAUAAAUGUUUAAUACUUGAAA